rnacentral:rRNA from 1 species
UACGUAGGGUGCGAGCGUUGUCCGGAAUUAUUGGGCGUAAAGGGCUCGUAGGCGGUUUGUCGCGUCGGGAGUGAAAACACCGGGCUUAACUCGGUGCUUGCUUUCGAUACGGGCAGACUAGAGGUAUGCAGGGGGAGAACGGAAUUCCUGGUGUAGCGGUGAAAUGCGCAGAUAUCAGGAGGAACACCGGUGGCGAAGGCGGUGGUCUGGGCCGGCACUGACGCUGAGGAGCGAAAGCGUGGGGAGCAAACAGG